GCCUCUCCAAGGCUGACUUGACUCUCUUUUGCACCGGGUUUGUGGGAGUAAUGUUAAUGGUAAAAAAGAAGGAAGUGGAAGAAGAUGCAGACUUGUGAAUACAGAAGGUGACUGACUUUUAGGAGAUAUGGUGAGAUAAGAGUUAAAAAAUAAAUGUGAAAUUUGUUAUUCUUUAGAGGUUACAAAUUUUCUAUUUUGAAGUGAGAAGAUACUAUUGUUUUGUGUAAUGCACGUGUGAAAGUGUGUGAAUGGUCAUUGUUGUGCGUACGUAUUUGUGUAUAAUAUACGUAUUUGCUUUAAGCUUAAUGUUUGUGUUUUUAGUAGUGCUUUUUGAUAUUGAA